rnacentral:ncRNA from 1 species
UGACGUUUUUGAAUAUUUCUAUUUAUCGAGAUCUGUUAUAAAAAAUACAGCAGUGGUAAUACCACUAUAAAUUCGACUAAUUGCUGGAAACUCUUGUUAAUGGUUAUCUACUUAUAUGCAUUUUGCAUGCGAGUGAAAAUGGUAACCCAGUCAAUUUUGACGCAAGACAAUCAGCAGGAAAGGCUAUGAAAAUAAAUGAAUGAUCGUCAUUUUCAUAGAAUCCUCACAGGCCAUACGUCGAACACACGUUUGUGUGAAGAUAUGGUCGGAUCUUUAUGGCGACAUAAAG